AGGGGCGUAGCUCAACUGGUAGAGCACCGGUCUCCAAAACCGGCGGCUGGGGGUUCGAGUCCCUCCGCCCCUG
rnacentral:tRNA from 3 species